rnacentral:rRNA from 1 species
AUUGAACGCUGGCGGUAUGCUUUACACAUGCAAGUCGAACGGCAGCACGGGGCAACCUGGUGGCGAGUGGCGAACGGGUGAGUAACAUAUCGGAACAUGUCCGGAAGUGGGGGAUAACGUACCGAAAGGUACGCUAAUACCGCAUAUGCCCUGAGGGGAAAGGCGGGGAUCGCAAGACCUGUCGCUUUCGGAGUGGCCGAUAUCGGAUUAGCUAGAUGGUGAGGUAAAGGCUCACCAUGGCGACGAUCCGUAGCUGGUCUGAGAGGACGACCAGCCACACUGGGACUGAGACACGGCCCAGACUCCUACGGGUGGCUG